UUCAAAUCCAAGCUCGAGCUUAGUGAAAAUCUAAUGAGCUGGGCCUGAGCUCUUUAAAGCUCAGCUCAUUUACACCCUACACAGAGGGUACGGGUAGCACUUGAUCAGCCAUGAUAAUAUGGAUAUGUUUAUCUAGAAGAAAACAUGCAGCAAGUUCAUAAUUUUUGAAUUAUUAGUACAGCAGUAGUCACCAUCAUAAAUACAGAAAUACUCCACUACCGCCCAUGGUUGAAGGCUUUAAUACAGCAAAAAUAGCAAACAUCAUAAUUGCUGACAAUGUUUUUCACAUUAGUAGUCCCAAAUUCCAACUUUCUUUUUUCUUG
rnacentral:misc_RNA from 1 species